CUGACUGGCCAAACACGUGACUGUGAUUGGCCCAAAGACCCCUUCUGGGGCUGCAUAGGCAGGGUACUGAAGCUCACUCAGUGGGUCAGCUGGCAGACGUGCUGCCGGGCUACUGCAUCUGGUACUGCGGCAGCAGGGAAGAUGAAGACUGUCUCCGAGUGGCCUUGCCUCCCUUCAGCAGUGCAGGAUGUGCCGGAUGCCUGCAGAAAGAAGCAGCAGUGGAGAAUGACAGAGGCAACAGAAGUGGCUUAGCAGUUAAACAGAAUCGGGUGGUUGAGAAACCAGUUUAACCACAAAGAGCUCAGGAACCUUACACCAAGGCUCUGCCUCACUCGUUCAGGAAACCAACAAGAAAGUCCAGGUUUCUCACCAUCAGAGUUCAUGACAAGUUCAAACGUCACUCACCCCUGCCCAAGUGCAACCAUCCUCUACCAUGGUAAGUACGAAACGAUACCUUUUGUUACUUGGCUGACUAAUUCUGUCACCUGAGAGCCCGCCUUACGCUUGCCGUGGAAGCUCACUACGAAGUAACAAACUUUCCCAGAUCUUCCUGGUAGAUGCCUGUGUGGAGUCCUGAGUCACAGCCAACCUAUGGAUGAGGGUUGUUCCCAUCUCUCUACGUGAGUUUGGAUGUGUCCUCUCUGCCCACUGCCUUGCCGCGUGUCUUCUUGAGUAUGGGCCACUCUUAUCUUAUGAUGUGGAGCAACGACAGAACAUGGUGGCAAGGAUGACUGAGUGGACAGGAGGGAGCAUGGUCCGAUGGUUUCAGUAAGAAUGGCCCCAUAAACUUACACGUUUGGAUGCUUGGAUGAGUUGGUGGGCUGUUUAGGAAAGAUUAGGAGGCUUGACCUUGUGGGAGGAGGUGCAUUACUGGAGGGGGGCUUUGAGGUUUCAAAGAUUUAUCCCAGAUUUCGUCUUUGGUUUCUCCACCUCCAUCUCGUGAAUCAGGUGUGAGCUAACAGCUACUGCUCCGGCUUGCCAGCCUCCUGUCACACUCCCUGCCAUGAUGGCCAUGAAUUGACCAGCCCUCUGACAUUGUAAGCAAGUCCCCAGUUAAAUGUUUUCUUCUGUGAGUUUCUUUGACCAAUGGUGUCUCUCCACAGUGACAGAACAGUAGCUAAGCUACUCUCCCACCCCGACGUCAUAGGUUUUCAUGCUUCUCCAAUCUUCAUCAGCCUUAUUUUGUUCAGCCACUUGAAGGCAAUGAUAGCUUCAGAUGCAGAGUUCAUGGAGGAAGACAACCCACUACCUCCGCAUUGGAAGUCAGUAUUCCUCCUGGGGUGUGAACUGGUCAUGUUCAUAAAGCAUGUGCCAUGCAUGAUGCAGGCUUUAGCAGAGGCCCUGCUGUGAAGACAAUCAUUGAAUAUUUUUGGUGCUAUUUUAGAGUAGACUGUCUGCUUAAACUAACAGAACAUCCUUGAUUUUGUAUCUGGAUAAAAUGUUCUUAAAAUCAGCAAAUUAUUCAGUUGUCACUAUAAUGAAUCAUCUGAAAUAAUAACUCGUAAAGGAGAGAGGCUUUGGUCUGGCUCACAGUUUUGAGACUUCUACUCUAACCAUUGGAUUGGGCUCCUGGGGUGGAGUGGGUAAACCCGGAUGUGAGGUGAUUAGGGUGGGGACAGGAUGUUCUCACCUGGAUGUUGAAAGUCAUCCAGGGAUCCAUGUGUUAAAGCCUUGAUCGCAGUCCCCUAUGGCAGUGCUCCUGAGAAGUGGAGCACUUACAAGGCAGAGCCUAGUGGGACCUCUGAGUAAGGGCAUGCCCUUCACAGUGAUAGUUGCUUCCUGCUUCUUUUUUAUCUUGCUGCUUCCUGGCUGAGAGGCAGGUGUUUUCGCUUGCUUGGUGAGGUCUCUUGUCAGGAUGUGGUCUGAGCAGGGAGAAAGUGAUCCAGCAACAUACCCAACUGGCCUGGCAGGUAUUGCAGGCAGGUGUGCAGCUGAUCCACAAGUUACAAAACACUUCUCACCAGCUUUGUGCUCGCCUCAUUCUUAGGCCUGUUUGACUUAAGAUGUUAGGCAAAUUUUAAAACUGAGAAAAAAAAAGGUGAAAAGAAUCCCUUGGUCUUUGACUUCUCCAUGAAGAAGAAAAUCUAUUAAUAUAAACACACACAUUUUGAGCAGGUCAUGUGGACCUGAAGGAACUCCCUGAUGACGCCAGCAGGAGCAGUCUAUGGUUCCUGGGAACCCUAAGAAAACGCAGACUUGAAGAAGCGGAGGUGGUUUCAGAGCAUCAGGGCUCCGUCCAAACAAGAAUCCCACUGGAAACUGUCUUUAAGGGCUUAAUGGGUCCUUUGGCCUCAGCUCAGGCCUCAGUUGCGACAUCAGUUAAUUACAUUGUUGCAUUUCCCUUGAAAGGGGUGUCUUUGGAGUAUUUCCCUCUGAUUGGCCAGAACCCUAAGCUACUGUAACUAAUUAUUAUAAAUAUGUUUAUUCAGGGCAUGAUCAAGGUGCUCUCCUCUCUUUCUCUCACUUUUAAAAAUUCUGUCUGAUCUAAAUGUGUGGAGAUGUUUCCUGUUACUAUUGCAUAAACAAUACAAAAUAAUUGCCAUUUAUAUAUUAGUUGUAUUGUACUGAGUAUUAUCUGUAAUUCAGGAAUGAUUAAUAUAAAAGACCUGAGUGUCUUGGCAUGCUGUAGGAUAAUGGUCCUGUACCCUGUAAAGAUUUGUUUCUUGUACUUGUUUAAUAAAAUGCUGAUUGGCCCGUAGCCAGGCAGGAAGUAUAGGCA